GAUGAACGCUAGCGGCAGGCUUAAUACAUGCAAGUCGAGGGGCAGCAUGAUUGUAGCAAUACAAUUGAUGGCGACCGGCAAACGGGUGCGGAACACGUACACAACCUCCCAAUAAGUGGGGAAUAGCCCAGAGAAAUUUGGAUUAAUACCCCGUAACAUAACGAUGUGGCAUCACAUUGUUAUUAUAGAUUUUUCGCUUAUUGAUGGGCGUGCGGCUGAUUAGAUAGUUGGCGGGGUAACGGCCCACCAAGUCUACGAUCAGUAGCUGAUGUGAGAGCAUGAUCAGCCACACGGGCACUGAGACACGGGCCCGACUCCUACGGGAGGCAGCAGUAAGGAAUAUUGGACAAUGGACGCAAGUCUGAUCCAGCCAUGCCGCGUGAAGGAUUAAGGUCCUCUGGAUUGUAAACUUCUUUUAUAAGGGACGAAAAAAGGCUUUUCUAAGUCGUCUGACGGUACCUUAUGAAUAAGCACCGGCUAACUCCGUGCCAGCAGCCGCAGUAAAAC
rnacentral:rRNA from 1 species